rnacentral:rRNA from 1 species
UUACGCGUGCUGGACACGCAGUCGUACCCUUUGUCCUUCAACUGAUUUGAAGAGCUUGCUCAGAUAUGACGAUGGACAUUGCAAAGAGUGGCGAACGGGUGAGUAACACGUGGGAAACCUACCUCUUAGCAGGGGAUAACAUUUGGAAACAGAUGCUAAUACCGUAUAACAAUAGCAACCGCAUGGUUGCUACUUAAAAGAUGGUUCUGCUAUCACUAAGAGAUGGUCCCGCGGUGCAUUAGUUAGUUGGUGAGGUAAUGGCUCACCAAGACGAUGAUGCAUAGCCGAGUUGAGAGACUGAUCGGCCACAAUGGGACUGAGACACGGCCCAUACUCCUACGGGAGGCAGCAGUAGGGAAUCUUCCACAAUGGGCGAAAGCCUGAUGGAGCAACGCCGCGUGUGUGAUGAAGGGUUUCGGCUCGUAAAACACUGUUGUAAGAGAAGAAUGACAUUGAGAGUAACUGUUCAAUGUGUGACGGUAUCUUACCAGAAAGGAACGGCUAAAUACGUGCCAGCAGCCGCGGUAAUACGUAUGUUCCAAGCGUUAUCCGGAUUUAUUGGGCGUAAAGCGAGCGCAGACGGUUAUUUAAGUCUGAAGUGAAAGCCCUCAGCUCAACUGAGGAAUUGCUUUGGAAACUGGAUGACUUGAGUGCAGUAGAGGAAAGUGGAACUCCAUGUGUAGCGGUGAAAUGCGUAGAUAUAUGGAAGAACACCAGUGGCGAAGGCGGCUUUCUGGACUGUAACUGACGUUGAGGCUCGAAAGUGUGGGUAGCAAACAGGAUUAGAUACCCUGGUAGUCCACACCGUAAACGAUGAGUGCUAGGUGUUUGAGGGUUUCCGCCCUUAAGUGCCGCAGCUAACGCAUUAAGCACUCCGCCUGGGGAGUACGACCGCAAGUUGAAACUCAAAGGAAUUGACGGGGACCCGCACAAGCGGUGGAGCAUGUGGUUUA